rnacentral:lncRNA from 1 species
AAAACAAACAACAACAACAACAACAAAAAGGACAUCUUUCACAUUUGUCCCUUUUGAUCAAGAUCUGGCAGAUCCAAGAACCUUUAAACUCUCUGCAGGCAGGAACAAUCCAGCAGGAAGAUCACUGAGCCAGGACUGAGGUGAUUUCUCAUCCCAGGUUUACCACUGACGUGUCAUGGGUCUUGAGUUCCUGUCCAAAUGGGAAAAAACAGUGCACUUGGACUUCAGAGUCAAGGGAGCUAUAUUUGAGCCAGAGUUCUACUAUGGCAGGGGUCCCCAGCUCCUGGGCCAUGGACUGGUACCAGUCCGUGGCCUGUUAGGAACCGGACCACACAGCAAGAGUUUCUUCCUCCAUGUUACUUACCGAUAUUGAAAGACCGCAUGCUGCUUUGAACAAGACGGGUGAUCAAUUGGAAUGUCU